rnacentral:misc_RNA from 1 species
UCGAGCUUCAGACAGCAAACACACAAGAUAAAAAUACCAACAUAUUUCACGAGGAGAGCCCCUUCAAGUGGGAACAACUUCCUAUAUGUAGAAGUAGCAUAUAUGGUUCUAAGCAAUCAAAGGUUACACCAAUCAAAUGCAGUUCACGUUCUAUGUCUAAUGAUGUCAAACCAACUAUGCCCCAGAUACUAUUGUGUGAUUUUACCUAUUAGAUCAUUAGGUUAAUUAGCUCUCUGUUGAUCUGCUUGUGCGCUCAUUUGCUGUCUGCCACACAACCUGUCCCCGCACUCGCGGUCGCUGCUCAGCUAAUGUCAUGUCCUCUGGCUUUGGUACUG